rnacentral:rRNA from 1 species
UCCUGGAUUCACACCCCAGCGGAGCCAUGAUCCCUGAUCUAUGGCCAUGUCUGGUCUCAGAAGCUAAGCAGGGUUGGGCCUGGUAAGUACUUGAAUGGGAGACCACCUAGGAAGACCAGGCCCUAUAGGCA